UACGUAGGGUGCAAGCGUUGUCCGGAAUUAUUGGGCGUAAAGAGCUCGUAGGCGGUCUGUCGCGUCUGCUGUGAAAACUCGGGGCUUAACCCCGGGCCUGCAGUGGGUACGGGCAGACUAGAGUGCGGUAGGGGAGACUGGAAUUCCUGGUGUAGCGGUGAAAUGCGCAGAUAUCAGGAGGAACACCGGUGGCGAAGGCGGGUCGCUGGGCCGCAACUGACACUGAGGAGCGAAAGCAUGGGGAGCGAACAGG
rnacentral:rRNA from 1 species